UACGGAGGGUGCAAGCGUUAUCCGGAUUUACUGGGUUUAAAGGGUGCGUAGGUGGGUCUGUAAGUCAGUGGUGAAAGCCCAUCGCUCAACGGUGGAACGGCCAUUGAUACUGCAAGACUUGAAUUAUUAGGAAGUAACUAGAAUAUGUAGUGUAGCGGUGAAAUGCUUAGAGAUUACAUGGAAUACCAAUUGCGAAGGCAGGUUACUACUAAUUGAUUGACGCUGAUGGACGAAAGCGUGGGGAGCGAACAGG
rnacentral:rRNA from 1 species